rnacentral:rRNA from 1 species
GUGAAUCACCGGGGUAGCCACUCUGUGGCCCCCAAACCUUCACUUUCCACACACACCUGUGCACCCGGUGGUGGGGGGUUCUUGUAAUAGAGCUCCCUCUGCUGCCUAUCUAUCACAUACCCUGAGUAUUAUGGAUGUCAGUGUAUACUUGCCUUUUUGGCAGAACUAAACA